UACGAAGGGGGCUAGCGUUGCUCGGAAUUACUGGGCGUAAAGGGCUCGUAGGCGGCCAACUAAGUCGGAUGUGAAAUCCCCAGGCUCAACUUGGGAACUGCAUCCGAUACUGGAUGGCUUGAAUUCGGGAGAGGGAUGCAGAAUUCCAGGUGUAGCGGUGAAAUGCGUAGAUAUCUGGAGGAACACCGGUGGCGAAGGCGGCAUCCUGGACCGACACUGACGCUGAUGAGCGAAAGCCAGGGGAGCAAACGGG
rnacentral:rRNA from 1 species